AUACGACCUCGAGGGUGGAAAGACGGGGGAGGUCGCAGACUCCGCGCGAUGGGAGCGGCCGAUAUCGGAUUAGCUUGUUGGUGAGGUAAAGGCUCACCAAGGCGACGAUCCGUAGCUGGUCUGAGAGGACGACCAGCCACACUGGAACUGAGACACGGUCCAGACUCCUACGGGAGGCAGCAGUGGGGAAUUUUGGACAAUGGGGCAACCCUGAUCCAGCCAUUCCGCGUGAGUGAAGAAGGCCUUCGGGUUGUAAAGCUCUUUCAGCAGGAACGAAACGGUGGCCACUAAUACUGGCUACUAAUGACGGUACCUGAAGAAGAAGCACCGGCUAACUACGUG
rnacentral:rRNA from 1 species